rnacentral:rRNA from 1 species
AAUGAACGCUGGCGGCGUGCUUAACACAUGCAAGUCGUACGAGAAAUCCUCUGCUUGCAGGGGAGAGUAAAGUGGCGCACGGGUGAGUAACGCGUGGGUAAUCUACCCUUGGAUUCAGGAUAACACUUCGAAAGGGGUGCUAAUACUGGAUAACAUCCUGAUGGUUUCGGUCAUAAGGAUCAAAGAUAGCCUCUACAAGUAAGCUAUUGUUCAGGGAUGAGCCCGCGUACCAUUAGCUAGUUGGUGGGGUAAGAGCCUACCAAGGCGACGAUGGUUAGCUGGUCUGAGAGGAUGAUCAGCCACACUGGAACUGAAACACGGUCCAGACUCCUACGGGUGGCUG